UACGGGGGGGGCAAGCGUUGUUCGGAAUUACUGGGCGUAAAGGGCUCGUAGGCGGCCAACUAAGUUCAGACGUGAAAUCCCUCGGCUUAACCGGGGAACUGCGUCUGAUACUGGAUGGCUUGAGUCCGGGAGAGGGAUGCGGAAUUCCAGGUGGUAGCGGUGAAAUGCGUAGAUAUCUGGAAGGAACACCGGUGGCGAAGGCGGCAUCCUGGACCGGCACUGACGGCUGAUGAGCGAAAGCCAGGGGAGCAA
rnacentral:rRNA from 1 species